CUGCAGGCUGAGGAAAUAUUUUCACUAGGUACCAUCUGAAUUUGGGAUUUAUUUUUCCUAUUUUUCCUCGUUUGAAGCUGGGUGGCAAAGAGGUUUCAUCAAGAAAAUUGUUAUCCAGAUUCUUCAAUGGCUUUUGGCGAGUCACGUCUCAGAAAAGCGAUUUGCUGGCUCUAAUUUUUGGUGAUUUCUUGAUGGUCUGUCCGAGAAUAUUGGUGAAUUUACAUUGGAGACAGAUCCCAUUGAGAUCAUUGUGCUUGCACUUCCAAAAAGGUAGAAGGAUAGUAAAGUUAUUGUCAUUAGCAGAGUUUCCAUAGAGGGGAUGGAUUGCAAUAAGGAUGAUGCCUUUAAGGCCAAGCUGGUUGCUGAGAAAAAGUUCGCAGAGAUGGACAUUGCCGCUGCAAGUAAAUUUGCUUUGAAGGCCCAUAAAUUGUAUCCUAGUCUUGAUGGUCUUCCCCAAUUUAUGGCAACUCUUAAUGUUUACCUGUCUGCUGAGAAAAGAAUUGAUGGGUGCAUUGAUUGGUACAGGGUCCUUGGCGUGGAUCCAUUGGCUGAUGAAGAAACCAUUAGGAAACAUUAUAGAAAACUAGCACUCAUUCUUCAUCCUGACAAAAACAAAUCAAUAGGUGCAGAUGGGGCUUUUAAAAUUGUAUCUGAAGCUUGGAGCUUGUUGUCUGACAAAAUGAAAAGGGCAGCAUUUGACCAAAAACGGAACAUAAGAGGUAUGUAUAUGAAGUCUACUGAAAUAAGGUCAUCAGUUCCAAUUGUUCGGAACGGUUUCCAUAAUCUUUCCCCCAAUAAUAAUUUGAAUAGAUGGCAUUGGAGAAGUGACGAUGAAGUCCUUUCCGCUCCGACUCCUCAUCCAGUGAAACCCACGUUUUGGACAAUCUGUCAUUCAUGCAAUGUGCAUUUUGAGUAUCUCAGAACUUAUCUUAAUCACAAUCUUAUUUGUCCCAACUGCCGCAUAUCCUUUUUGGCUGUUGAAAACCCACCCCCACCUUUCAAUGUGAAUCCGUCAGCCUCCCCAUGGACUUUCAAAAUGCAGCAACAGGCUUCCAGCGCAUGUAACCAUAUCAAGAAGUCAUUAAAUGGGGAGAAGACACAGAUUUCUGCUAGAGGUGACGCAGUGGGAUAUAGUAGUAUUGAAUCUCUGCGUAAAUCUUUUCAGUUUGGUACAUCAUUUAAAUUGGGAGCGACUGAAAGUAUGCAAGCAUCAGACUCUUCAGCAGCUAAAGCUUUUAGUUUCUUCAAGGCAGCAACUUCAAAGAUGAAAAUUGGGCAGAAUGAUGACUUAUCGGCUGCUAUGAAAGAAGAUAAUGCUCCCAAUAAGAUGGAUGCUGGUUUUGCCUCAACAUCCUUCAAUGACAGUGUCUGUUCUGUACACAAAGGAGAUAGACCAAAGAAAAAAAGACGCAUAACUGGACAUAAAAUGCAGUGUAGUAAUAUCAGAGCCUUUUUGAAACCAGCGGAAAUGGAAAACACAGGGAUUAUGAAGGAGAGUAGUGGGUCUCAAAAGUAUAGAUUUGAAGGAAGAAGGAUGAGCAUCACUGGAAAAUUUGGAUCUGCUAGUACAAAGGAGCUUUCCCAGCUAGAAUUGCGAAAAAUGUUGAUGGGGAAGGCUAGGAAUGAGAUCCGCAAGAAGCUCAGUGAAUGGGAAGCAGCUGCAUCAUCAACCAUUUUGCAAAGGAUGAAGACUUCUAGCAAGGAUCUCGUAGAGGAGAAAGAAGGGAAAAGAGUUGUUCUAAAUGGUAUGAAUUCCAGUAAAUAUUUUGAUACUGCGUGUAGUACAGAUGAAUUGCAAACCAAACAUCCUUUACCUCCAAGUUCUGGUGGGGAUCCAGAUGGCAAAGAUUCUGAACCUUUUUCCAUGAGCGUUACUGAUCCAGAUUUUCAUGAUUUUGACAAGGAUCGUGCGGAAAAAUCAUUUGGUAGUAAUCAGGUUUGGGCUGUUUACGAUGAUGAUGACGGUAUGCCCCGAUAUUAUGCCAUGGUUCAUAAAGUUAUAUCAUUGAAACCAUUCAAAAUGCGCAUCAGUUGGCUUAAUUCUAAAAGUAACAUUGAACUAGCCCCAUUGAACUGGAUUGGUUGUGGAUUUCCUAAGACAAGUGGUGAUUUCUGGAUCGGAAAGCAUGAAGUUAAUGGCUUUCUUAAUUCGUUCUCACACAAGGUUAAACAGAUAAAAGGCAAGAGAGGAGCCAUUAGAAUCUUUCCUAGUAAGGGAGAUGUGUGGGCUCUAUAUAGGAACUGGUCUCCUAAUUGGAACGAGCUUACCCCGGAUGAUGUCAUUCACAAAUAUGACAUGGUGGAAGUUCUUGAAGAUUACAAUGAAGAGAGAGGCGUUACUGUUAUUCCAUUAGUUAAAGUUGUUGGUUUCAAGACUGUGUUUCAGCAGCACCCAAAUCCAUCAAAGAUCAGGAAUAUUCCGAGAGAGGAAAUGUUUCGAUUUUCUCACCAGGUUCCUUCAUGCUUGCUUACAGGUCUUGAAGGUCAAAAUGCUCCUGCUGGUUGCUGGGAGCUUGAUCCUGCAGCAACACCUUUGGAACUUCUACAAGUUGCCAAGGAAACUGAAAUGGAACUGGAAGAAGUCGUUCAGAACCUUGAACAAGCUAAGGACGGAAAUCCAUGUGAGGAUAUAAAAACUUAUAAAGAAGCAGAAGAUCUUGCUGAGAAUGUAGCAACAACUAUUGAAGCAAACUGUCAUAAGGUUCAGGAUAGACUAAAAGUGGAAGAAGAUUUGAUAAUGCAUAAUGGAAAGAAGACGACAGUUCAAAAGAUGAUUGUGUAUAGGCGGAAGCGGUUCCGGGGCAAAUUGCUAAUUAGUGCCGAGUUAUCAGCACAUUAGACAACGUUUGAGAAAUUGUUCUCAGAUGAACAUACGAUAGACAUGAGGAUGGCUGCAACCAUACACAGUACAGAUUCUAAGCAUCAAUCCAGCCUAAUCGUAAUUUUGAUUUUUUUUGUUCACUUUUUCGUCUUCUCAGCCGUGAGAGAUGAAUUGGUGAUACAUGUGGAGAAGUAUUUCUUUUGUCUAGUUUUUUACUCGCUCUACAUUUAUUUGGGCUACAAUUUUGUCUAGUUUAUGAUGCCCUCAAUACUAAUAUCAAUUUUCUGGUAGGUUGGAUAGUGUUGGAAAAGGCAGUUUCCUUGGAUUGAUAUGCUGUAAGACACUGUAGCUCCAGAUUGAUAGGCUAAUUUUACUCUUUGCUCAAAGAGAUGGAAAUGGAGGGCACAUAUUGUAAGCUUCUGUGGUCUGCUUUCUAAAGAAUCAACGACUCGACAGGAGACGAAAGGAAAGGAAAAGUGGGCAUGUGGUUAAAGAAAAAAGGCCUUGUCUGCCGCAAUGCAAUGCCGAACAACUUUAGGUUAUUGGCCAAGUGGGACAGCUUGAGAUUGUUGGACCCCUUUUUUUUGUUCCAACAGAAACUUCUUCAGCUUUGGGGGCUGCAGAUUUUUUGUUCUUUUGAAACUGUUUAUGU